UUUCCGUAGGUGAACCUGCGGAAGGAUCAUUACCGAGUGCGGGCCCUCUGGGUCCAACCUCCCAUCCGUGUCUAUCUGUACCCUGUUGCUUCGGCGUGGCCACGGCCCGCCGGAGACUAACAUUUGAACGCUGUCUGAAGUUUGCAGUCUGAGUUUUUAGUUAAACAAUCGUUAAAACUUUCAACAACGGAUCUCUUGGUUCCGGCAUCGAUGAAGAACGCAGC
rnacentral:misc_RNA from 1 species